GCGGCAGGCUUAACACAUGCAAGUCGAGCGGGGAAAGGUACCUUGCUACCUGACCUAGCGGCGGACGGGUGAGUAAUGCUUAGGAAUCUGCCUAUUAGUGGGGGACAACGUUCCGAAAGGAACGCUAAUACCGCAUACGCCCUACGGGGGAAAGCAGGGGAUCUUCGGACCUUGCGCUAAUAGAUGAGCCUAAGUCGGAUUAGCUAGUUGGUGGGGUAAAGGCCUACCAAGGCGACGAUCUGUAGCGGGUCUGAGAGGAUGAUCCGCCACACUGGGACUGAGACACGGCCCAGACUCCUACGGGAGGCAGCAGUGGGGAAUAUUGGACAAUGGGCGGAAGCCUGAUCCAGCCAUGCCGCGUGUGUGAAGAAGGCCUUUUGGUUGUAAAGCACUUUAAGCGAGGAGGAGGCUCCUUUAGUUAAUACCUAAAGAGAGUGGACGUUACUCGCAGAAUAAGCACCGGCUAACUCUGUGCCAGCAGCCGCGGUAAUACAGAGGGUGCGAGCGUUAAUCGGAUUUACUGGGCGUAAAGCGUGCGUAGGCGGCUUUUUAAGUCGGAUGUGAAAUCCCUGAGCUUAACUUAGGAAUUGCAUUCGAUACUGGAAAGCUAGAGUAUGGGAGAGGAUGGUAGAAUUCCAGGUGUAGCGGUGAAAUGCGUAGAGAUCUGGAGGAAUACCGAUGGCGAAGGCAGCCAUCUGGCCUAAUACUGACGCUGAGGUACGAAAGCAUGGGGAGCAAACAGGAUUAGAUACCCUGGUAGUCCAUGCCGUAAACGAUGUCUACUAGCCGUUGGGGCCUUUGAGGCUUUAGUGGCGCAGCUAACGCGAUAAGUAGACCGCCUGGGGAGUACGGUCGCAAGACUAAAACUCAAAUGAAUUGACGGGGGCCCGCACAAGCGGUGGAGCAUGUGGUUUAAUUCGAUGC
rnacentral:rRNA from 1 species